UGAAUUCCGGUAGAGUGAAGUGACGG
rnacentral:sRNA from 1 species